AAUUAGGAAAAUUUCCCUCACAGAUUUAACCGCCUGAUUCUUUUCCCUCUUAUGCUUUUUAUUUGAAACAGUAAUUUACUUUAAUUUUUAAUCAAUUGUUCAUUUUUACCUCUUUUUUUAAUCAUUUUUUGCAAGCUAAUUGUCGACUAAUUAGUCAAGAUCAUCUUGUUGCCUCGUUUCAUCGCUAAAUAACAUUUAUCAAACAGUUCCGUUUGUAUAUCUUCUGCUAAACGUGCUUUACAGCUUUACCCUUGCUUCACCAUCCAUCUUGGAUUAACAACUUGGCUUAAUUAACCUGAUAUUUGAAAGUUAAUUUCUGCUCAACAAUUUACUGGAAACAGUUUUGUGUUUAAUAUUUACAAAUUCACAGUUUAGUUAACACUAAAUCAUGUUCAUCUUAAAUCAUUCAACAACGUGAUUGUUUUAAAUUGGUGGAUUACUAUAGCAAUGUUCAAUUGAAUGUGUGCUUCUUUAUUUUCAUUUUAUCAAACUGUUUUGUUUCUAGUUGAACUUGCAUUUCUUAUUUACAUGAUAAUGUUCACUUACUUACCGGAGCAACUUUCUUGCCCUCAUUUAACCAUGAUGAUUAGUAUAACCAUCGUUUCCAAUCAAUAUUCACCAGAGAAGGCAAAGUUUAACAACGUAAAAAUCAAUUCGCUGGUUGCAAAGUAACUGGUUGUUUCCCAAUGUUUGUUGGUACAUGAAACUUGUUCACAAACCAAGAGUUAUCAACGAAAUGAAUUCUCUGAUGAAUAUCAUAUUUUGACAACUUGAAAGUCGAGUCAGGAUGAAAAAAGUUACUAAAGAUGCCGAGAAAAGCAAGGAUAACUCCUCUGUGCCAAUGUUUGGUUCAAAAAUUCUGAUAAGAAAAUUCCGAGCAAACAUGGCGAUUCACAAUAAACUGACAGUUCUCUCUACUCAAUGUAAAUACUGUCAAAUAUUUUGUUGUUUUGUUUUAUUUUCAUUGUUAAUAUUUAUAACAAUCAACUUGGACAGUCCACCAGCAAUUGAAUGUAACAAAAGAAGGUGAAUCAACCAAAGUAAAUGCUGAUGAAAUAUGCUGAAAAUGUAUUGUGCCCUAUCAAAACAAGUCAACAACAAAAAGAUAAUCUUGAAAUGUUGAAGUUUGCAAAUUUUGAAUUACAUUACUGGACUUGCAUUUGGACAAUAUCGCCAUUGGACUUGAAAUUUGUCAACGCUCAACUCCCAUUACAUUGAAAACAACUGUAAAUGCUGAUGAAAUAUUCAUUAUUACAAAGACGUAUUAUUCAAGAUGCAAGAUAAUUGGUUGAUAAAUGUGGGCAGUUAAAAUCUCUCAACAAGAUAAUUUAUACUCUGAUGAUGAUGAUAAUAUUUAAGCAAAAGCUCAUAAUUAGGUUGAGCUCAACCUUGAGCUCAGCAUGAGACAAUGUAAUAAACUUCAGGGUAAAAAAGUGAAAUGUUGCUUUUUUGAAUGAAGAUUGAAAAACAGUGUAAUACUGUUUACUUUGAACAAGCUUGAAUUGGGAAAGCUAAACAUUGAUCAAGGAAAAAAAGGCAAAGACAAAAUGGCUUAUUCAUCGAUAUGGCGCUGAGUGACCAAUGGAACAAUCAUCAACAUUAAUUGAAUUUUUAGGCAACAAGAAAAGAUUGGAAACUUGAAACAAAUGAACCUAAAAUCAGGCUUCAUUUCAAGAUACAUUAGAUAAAUAUGUUUAUAUGUUAUAAACGAUAUUUAUAUGUAUAUUCAUAAAGAUACAUCAUACAUUACAAUUUUGUGUGAGUUAGGUCAAUAAACACACAAAAACAAAGAAUGAUCAUCAAUCAAAUGAACACAGUUGAACGCAAUCAAGGCUCAAAUUUUUACCUACUGUGAUUAUCUUUGAGGCUUUUCAUGUUUUCAACUCAAUAAUAUUUUACAAGCCAACCAUUGCAACUGCAAAGCCAGAAUGAAACAAAUAAAUUGUAUUAUAAUAUCAAAUCAAUACAAUUUAAUAUGAAAGAUAUUUAAACUUGUCCUGGUUCGGUUCAUGUUUACACUUGAAUUUGAUUCAAGCUGAUAUCAUCAACCUGUUAACCUUGCAGGCCAACAUAGGAAAGGAAAAAUGUAAAAUAACAAAUUGUAUAACCUGUAAUUGAAUUGAUUUUGAUGACACCUUAAGUUUGAUGGCCCACGUCAAGAUUGUCAUGAUGAUGAUGAAGAGCCUUUUUGAUAAUCAUCAAAUUUAAAUCGUUUCAAUUGCUGUGUAAAAAAAGUGAAACGUUUUUUUCUUGGUAAAUUACAAUUUCAACCUUUCCAAUGUACAUAUUAAGUUAGCAGUUUUGAUUAACCAUCCAUUUUGAGUUUAACCUGCUUUUACCUUGAUGAUAAUGAUGUCUCUUUGAACUUUAUUUAAGCAAUCAUCAUCAUCAUCACCAUCAUUAAUAUCAACCCAAUAAUUUCAUCAACUUUUCUUGUGAAGAUAAUAAUGGUGAGGAAAAGUGUCUUUUGUCGGACAUUUUUGUAUCUAAUGUGAAAUUAAAUAGUCAGGAUAACUUUGAUUCAAUAAUCAAAGGUUAACAAAACAUUGAAAUGUAUCAUAAGAAGCCAUUAGCAUAUUUUGGAAAGAUAUUUCAUCAAUUGUAAGCCAUUUUUCAUUCCAAUUGAUAUUAGCUUCAAGGGUUAAAAGAUAACUUGUUGACAAUCACUUUUAGCCCAUCACAGUCUUAUUCAAACAUAUCACUUGUUGGUCAAAUAAAUAAUUAUAUUGAUGAACAUCAAUCAAUGUUCAUCAAAUGUUAAGUUUAAAUUGAAAGAUUUUUAUAUCAACAGAAAGCUCUGAUUGAAGUUGAAAUUUUUCUUGUAAUGAUUUAGAUAUGGAUUGAUUUGGGAUUGUUAUGGAAGCAAUUUAUUCAAUGUUGAUUUGGAGCUUCUUCAAUUUUUAACAAAUAUUUGGAUCAACUAUUACCCAGGAGGAACCAAAUAUGUUUUACUUCAUGAACUACCAUGGAUUUUGGUAAUUUCAAUUUACAAAUUAGCUCGAUCAUGGACACCAAGACAAAUUACAAGAAAGCUCCGGUCGACUGUAAACCCAUGAAAGACUUCAUCAUUAAAGAAUCAAUUGAACCUGAAGGCGCUAAAAAAUUCCUUGACCAUUACAAGAAUUGGCUGGAGACACCAUCCAGGGUAUAAACUAUUAUAAUUUAUAAAUUGGUUGGUUUGAGACGUUAAAGGUCAAAGAUAUGGAUUGAUUUGGGAUUGUUAUGGAGGCAAUUUAUUCAAUGUUGAUUUGGAGCUUCUUCAAUUUUUAACAAAUAUCUGGAUCAACUAUUAUCCAGGAGGAACCAAAUAUGUUUUACUCCAUGAAUUGCCAUGGAUUUUACGAGCAAUUUACAGGUUAGCUCGAUCAUGGAUGCCAGAACAUUUACGUGAACAAAUUUGCUUCGCCUCUAAAGGUGACAUUGGGUCGUUUGUUGGUUCUCAAAGUUUACCUGAUUACCUUAACGGACAGUGCAAGACAAAUUACAAGAAAGCUCCGGUUGACUGUAAAUCCAUGAAAGACUUCAUCAUUAAAGAAUCAAUUGAACCUGAAGGGGCUAAAAAAUUUCUUUGACUAUUACAAGAAUUGGCUGGAGACACCAUUCAGGGUAUAAACUAAAUGACUGGUUGAAUCGUAUUUGGACAAAGAUUGUGAAUGUUAUUAUAUCGUGUUAAGAAGUCGCAUCAAACUUUUAUAUAAUAAGUUAAGCACAAUCGGAAGGAUUAAAACGGUUCAACAAACUUGAGUCAGUUAGAUGUAAUAACAGACAUUUAUUCAAUGAUUAUCAUCACCUUUCAUCUCUUCCUAAUCAUAAUCAUCUUCAUCUUCAUCAUAACCACAGUCAUAACUAUCACCAUAACCAUCAUUAUAACCAUCAUAAUUAUCAUAGUGAUAAUGUAAUAAGCACAAGAAAACAACUACUUUUUUUCGUUGAAUAAGUUGUAUUCAACCAAAGGUAUUUGCGUUUUACCCCGAGGCUAGCCAAAAUAGACCUUGUUACUUAAAGAGAAAGAGAUGAAGAUGAUGAUGAUAAUGGUGAUGAGGAGGAAGAAGAAGAAAAGUUUAGGUAAAAAAAAGUAUUUUACUUUAGAUUUUUUUAAGCAAGAAAACGAUUAUUUUUCAUACUCAGGUUUACUUGCUGACCAAUGGUUACUUCUUUGCUUACAGUUAUGGUCAAGUUAAUGGUAAAAUAGUCGGGCAAAACCUGUUUAACAAUGUUAGCUGAAUGAUGAACCAGAACUGGGCUAUUUACCUUAACGACUCAAUCUGCCGAACGUCAUUCAUUAAUUGUUUAGUGGGAAAAUUAUUAUCAUUGUAUAUUUGUAAGCUGUUUUACCUUUUACUUUUUUGACUUUUGACUUUUGACAGUUUGCAGUUCAACUUUUCACCUCACCUUUAACUUCAACAUAUAAACCAAUUUAUACAUCAUUUGAAAAGAUUUGGUCAACAGAUUAAUCAGUUUGCCUUUAGAACAGC